rnacentral:rRNA from 1 species
AUUGAACGCUAGCGGCAGGCCUAACACCUGCAAGUCGGUCGAGUGGCGGACGGGUAAGUAAUGUCUGGGGAUCUGCCUGAUGGAGGGGGAUAACUACUGGAAACGGUAACUAAUACCGCUUACCAUCAGAUGAGCCCAUAUGGGAUUAGCUUGUUGGUGGGGUAACGGCUCACCUAGGCCACGAUCCCUAGCUGGUCUGAGAGGAUGAUCAGCAUCACUGGAACGGAGACACGGGCCAGACUCCCACGGGAGGCAGCAUUGGGGAAUAUUGCACAAUGGGCGAAAGCCUGAUGCAGCCAUGCAGUGUGUAGGAUGAAGGCCUUCGGGUUGUAAAGUACUUUCAGCCGGGAGGCGUUACCCACAGAAGAAGCACCGGCUAACGCCGUGCCAGCAGCCGCGGUAAUAC